rnacentral:rRNA from 1 species
UACGGGAGGCAGCAGUGGGGAAUAUUGCACAAUGGGCGAAAGCCUGAUGCAGCUAUGCCGCGUGUAUGAAGAAGGCCUUAGGGUUGUAAAGUACUUUCAUCGGGGAGGAAAAACAAAACUAAUAAUUUUAUUUCUUGACGUUACCCGAAAAAGAAGCACCGGCUAACUCCGUGCUAGCAGCCGCGGUAAUACGGAGGGUGCUAGCGUUAAUCAGAAUUACUGGGCGUAAAGAGCACGUAGGUGGUUUUUUUAAGUCAGAUGUGAAAUCCCUGGGCUUAACCUAGGAACUGCAUUUUGAAACUGAAAUACUAGAGUAUCGUAGAGGGAGGUAGAAUUCUAGGUGUAGCGGUGAAAUGCGUAGAUAUCUGGAGGAAUACCUGUGGCGAAAGCGGCCUCCUAAACGAAUACUGACACUGAGGUGCGAAAGCGUGGGGAGCAAACAGGGAUUAGAUACC